AACAGGCCGCGUUGUAAUUUGUAGAAGAUGCUUUGGGGGUUGGCCUAGUCUAAGUUCCUUGGAACAGGACGUCAUAGAGGGUGAGAAUCCCGUAUGUGAUUAGUGCUAUCCCCCGUGUAAAGCUCUUUCGACGAGUCGAGUUGUUUGGGAAUGCAGCUCAAAAUGGGUGGUAAAUUUCAUCUAAAGCUAAAUAUUGGCCAGAGACCGAUAGCGCACAAGUAGAGUGAUCGAAAGAUGAAAAGCACUUUGGAAAGAGAGUUAAACAGUACGUGAAAUUGUUGAAAGGGAAGCGCUUGCAAUCAGACUUGCGGGCGGUCGAUCAUCCGAGGUUCUCCCCGGUGCACUCGAUCGUUCUCAGGCCAGCAUCGGUUUCAGUGGUGGGAUAAAGGCUGUGAGAAUGUGGCUCUUCGGAGUGUUAUAGCUCACGGUGCAAUGCCGCCUACUGGGACCGAGGACCGCGCUUCGGCUAGGAUGCUGGCGUAAUGGUUGUAAGCGACCCGUCUUGAAACACGGACCAAGGAGUCUAACAUCUAUGCGAGUGUUUGGGUGUCAAACCCAUACGCGUAAUGAAAGUGAACGGAGGUGAGAACCCUUUAGGGCGCAUCAUCGACCGAUCCUGAUGUCUUCGGAUGGAUUUGAGUAAGAGCAUAGCUGUUGGG
rnacentral:rRNA from 1 species